GGGCCUUUCUGGUCCGUUCCCUUAGGCCGGCGAGACGGAUUAACUGCAAGUCAGAAGGCAGCUAAUGAAAACUUGCCAGGACCCUUUGAGCCACUGGAAAACAUCACUGCUAAGUUCAUCUCAAAGGGCCUUGACAUAAAGGAUGUUGUGGUCCUUUCAGGAGCACACACCAUAGGUUUUGCUCAGUGCUUCACGUUCAAGAACAGGCUCUUUAACUUCAAAGGCUCUGGCAAGCCUGAUCCUAGGCUUGAUUCUUCAUCCCUCACAAACUUGCAAAGCAUGUGUCCCAACAAAGAUGCGUCAAAC
rnacentral:misc_RNA from 1 species